rnacentral:rRNA from 1 species
CCAAUAGCGUAUAUUAAAGUUGUUGCAGUUAAAAAGCUCGUAGUUGAAUUUCGGGAUCAAUAUAUCGGUCGUGCCAUUGGUACGUACUGGUAUCAUUGGUUUCUCCUUUCUGACGAACCAUGAUGUCAUUAAUUUGGUGUUAUGGGAAGUUAGGACUGUUACUUUGAAAAAAUUAGAGUGUUUAAAGCAGGCUUUAGCUUGAAUACAUUAGCAUGGAAUAAUGAAAUAGGACGUUCGAACCUAUUUUGUUGGUUUCUAGGAUCAACGUAAUGAUUAAUAGGGAUAGUUGGGGGCAUUAUUAUUCAAUUGUCAGAGGUGAAAUUCUUGGAUUUAUUGAAGACUAACUACUGCGAAAGCAUUUGCCAAGGAUGUUUUCAUUAAUCAAGAACGAAAGUUAGGGGAUCGAAGACGAUCAGAUACCGUCGUAGUCUUAACCAUAAACUAUGCCGACUAGGGAUCGGAUGAUGUUAAUUUUUUAAUGACUCAUUCGGCGCCUUACG